UACGUAGGGUGCAAGCGUUAAUCGGAAUUACUGGGCGUAAAGCGUGCGCAGGCGGCUUUGCAAGACAGAUGUGAAAUCCCCGGGCUCAACCUGGGAACUGCAUUUGUGACUGUAGAGCUGGAGUGCGGCAGAGGGGGAUGGAAUUCCGCGUGUAGCAGUGAAAUGCGUAGAUAUGCGGAGGAACACCGAUGGCGAAGGCAAUCCCCUGGGCAUGCACUGACGCUCAUGCACGAAAGCGUGGGGAGCAAACAGG
rnacentral:rRNA from 1 species